UGGGGAAUUUUGGACAAUGGGCGCAAGCCUGAUCCAGCAAUGCCGCGUGCAGGAAGAAGGCCUUCGGGUUGUAAACUGCUUUUGUCAGGGAAGAAAUCUUCUGGGCUAAUACCCCGGGAGGAUGACGGUACCUGAAGAAUAAGCACCGGCUAACUACGUGACAGCAGCCGCGGUAAUACGUAGGGUGCGAGCGUUAAUCGGAAUUACUGGGCGUAAAGCGUGCGCAGGCGGCUUUGCAAGACAGAUGUGAAAUCCCCGGGCUCAACCUGGGAGCUGCAUUUGUGACUGCAAGGCUAGAGUACGGCAGAGGGGGAUGGAAUUCCGCGUGUAGCAGUGAAAUGCGUAGAUAUGCGGAGGAACACCAAUGGCGAAGGCAAUCCCCUGGGCCUGUACUGACGCUCAUGCACGAAAGCGUGGGGAGCAAACAGGAUUAGAUACCCUGGUAGUCCACGCCCUAAACGAUGUCAACUGGUUGUUGGACGGCUUGCUGUUCAGUAACGAAGCUAACGCGUGAAGUUGACCGCCUGGGGAGUACGGCCGCAAGGUUGGAACCCGAAGGAAUUGACGGGGACCCGCACAAGCGGUGGAUGAUGUUGUUUAAUUCGAUGCAACGCGAAAAACCUUACCUACCCUUGACAUGUCAAGAAUUCUGCAGAGAUGUGGAAGUGCUCGAAAGAGAACUUGAACACAGGUGCUGCAUGGCCGUCGUCAGCUCGUGUCGUGAGAUGUUGGGUUAAGUCCCGCAACGAGCGCAACCCUUGUCAUUAGUUGCUACGCAAGAGCACUCUAACGAGACUGCCGGUGGCAAACCGGAGGAAGGUGGGGAUGACGUCAGGUCCUCAUGGCCCUUAUGGGUAGGGCUACACACGUCAUACAAUGGCCGGUACAGAGGGCUGCCAACCCGCGAGGGGGAGCCAAUCCCAGAAAACCGGUCGUAGUCCGGAUCGUAGUCUGCAACUCGACUGCGUGAAGUCGGAAUCGCUAGUAAUCGCGGAUCAGCUUGCCGCGGUGAAUACGUCCCCGGGUCUUGUACACACCGCCCGUCACACCAUGGGAGCGGGUUCUGCCAGAAGUAGUUAGCCUAACCGCAAGGAGGGCGAUUACCACGGCAGGGUUCGUGACUGGGGUG
rnacentral:rRNA from 1 species